rnacentral:rRNA from 1 species
AGCAGCCGCGGUAAUUCCAGCUCCAAUAGCGUAUAUUAAAGUUGUUGCAGUUAAAAAGCUCGUAGUUGAAUUUCGGGAUCAAUAUGCUGGUCGUGCCUUUGGUACGUACUGGCAUUAUUGGUUUCUCCUUUCUGAUGAAUCACGAUGUCAUUAAUUUGGUGUCAUGGGGAAUCAGGACUGUUACUUUGAAAAAAUUAGAGUGUUUAAAGCAGGCUUACGCUUGAAUACAUUAGCAUGGAAUAAUGAAAUAGGACGUUUAAUUCUAUUUUGUUGGUUUCUAGGAUUGACGUAAUGAUUAAUAGGGAUAGUUGGGGGCAUUAGUAUUCAAUUGUCAGAGGUGAAAUUCUUGGAUUUAUUGAAGACUAACUACUGCGAAAGCAUUUGCCAAGGAUGUUUUCAUUAAUCAAGAACGAAAGUUAGGGGAUCGAAGACGAUCAGAUACCGUCGUAGUCUUAACCAUAAACUA